rnacentral:rRNA from 1 species
CAGCCGCCGCGGUAAUACAGAGGUGGCGAACGUUGUUCGGAUUUACUGGGCGUAAAGGGUCCGCAGGCGGAUCGGUAUGUCAGAUGUGAAAGCCCACAGCUUAACUGUGGAGUUGCAUUUGAAACUGCCGGUCUAGAGUACUGGAGGGGAGAAGGGAACACUUGGUGUAGCGGUGAAAUGCGUAGAUAUCAAGUGGAACACCGGAGGCGAAGGCGCUUCUCUGGACAGAUACUGACGCUCAUGGACGAAAGCUAGGGUAGCGAAAGGGAUUAGAUACCCCUGUAGUCCUAGCCGUAAACGGUGUGCACUAGACGUGGGUGGAUUUACCCCCAUCCGUGUCUGAGCUAACGCAUUAAGUGCACCGCCUGGGGAGUACGGUCGCAAGAUUAAAACUCAAAGGAAUUGACGGGGACCCGCACAAGCGGUGGAGCAUGUGGCUUAAUUCGAUGCAACGCGAAGAACCUUACCUGGACUUGACAUAUAGCUGCAUACGACCUGAAAGGGACGUAGCCUUCGAGGGUGCUAUACAGGUGCUGCAUGGCUGUCGUCAGCUCGUGCCGUGAGGUGUUGGGUUAAGUCCCGCAACGAGCGCAACCCCUGUGUUUAGUUGCCAGCACGUAAUGGUGGGAACUCUAAACAGACUGCUGGUGAAAACAAGAGGAAGGUGGGGAUGACGUCAAGUCAGUAUGGUCCUUAUGUCCAGGGCUGCACACGUGCUACAAUGGGCGAUACAAUAGGAAGCCAAACCGCGAGGUGGAGCAAAUCCUCAAAAUUCGCCCCCAGUUCGGAUUGAAGUCUGAAACUCGACUUCGUGAAGUUGGAAUCGCUAGUAAGGGCGUAUCAGCUACGACGCCUUGAAUACGUUCCCGGGUCUUGUACACACCGCCCGUCACAUCAUGGAAGUUUGUUGCACCCGAAGUCGCUGAUCCAACCUGUCAAAGGAGGAAGGCGCCUAAGGUGUGAUAGAUAACUGGGAUGAAGUCGUAACAAGGUAACCGUA